rnacentral:rRNA from 1 species
GACGAACGCUGCCGGCGUGCUUAACACAUGCAAGUCGAAGGGAGUGGCGAACGGGUGAGUAACACGUGAGUAACCUGCCCUUUUCUUUGGGAUAAGACUGGGAAACGGGGUCUAAUACUGGAUGGAUGGGGAUGGGCUCGCGGCUUAUCAGCUUGUUGGUGGGGUGAUUGCUUACCAAGGCUUUGACGGGUAGCCGGCCUGCGAGGGUGGUCGGUCACACUGGGCCUGAGAUACGGCCCAGACUCCUGCGUGAGGCAGCAGUGGGGGAUAUUGCACAAUGGGCGAAAUUCUGAUGCAGCCAUGCCGCGUGUAUGAAGAAGGCCUUCGGGUUGUAAAGUACUUUCAGCGUGGAGGCGUUACCCGCAGAAGAAGCACCGGCUAACUCCGUGCCAGCAGCCGCGGUAAUAC